rnacentral:lncRNA from 1 species
UCUUCUUCGUAGAGUUUUGGGGAAGACUGAGGCAAUCGCUGCUGAAGUCAGUGUUGUAAUGGUGAAUCGGGAUUUUAAAUGAAGUGGGUUUGAAUACUCUUGACUGUUUUGUGAAAUCGAGUUACGUCUGUGAUUGAAGGAUUAAAAGGGUGUCUAUAGGAUUGAGUAUGCGGAGUGAAUGAAAUUUAUUGGGUUAAUCUAACAAGACAGUCAGUGGAUACAAGAUCGUAAGUACAAAGCAAUAUUGAAGGUUAACAGUUUGGGUUGUACGGGGUUCUCUG